GUCGGUAAAACUCGUGCCAGCCACCGCGGUUAUACGAGAGGCCCAAGUUGAUAGCCUUCGGCGUAAAGAGUGGUUAAGUUAGCCUAAAACACUAAAGUCGAACGUCCCCAAGACCGUAAUACGUGUUCGGGGACAUGAAGCCCAACCACGAAGGUGACUUUAAAAACAUCUGACUCCACGAAAGCUGAGAAACAAACUGGGAUUAGAUACCCCACUAUG
rnacentral:rRNA from 1 species